GAGGGAUUAGUUAAAUUAUAAUAUAAGAUUGUCAGUCUUACGUUGCUAGUGGAGCUAGUAUCUCUUA
rnacentral:tRNA from 2 species